rnacentral:rRNA from 1 species
GAACCGCAGAGUUUGAUCCUGGCUCAGGACGAACGCUGGCGGCGUGCUUAACACAUGCAAGUCGAGCGGUAAGGCCCUUUCGGGGGUACACGAGCGGCGAACGGGUGAGUAACACGUGGGUGACCUGCCCUCAGCUCUGGGAUAAGCCUGGGAAACCGGGUCUAAUACCGGAUAUGACUCCAUGACGCAUGUUGUGGGGUGGAAAGCCUUGUGCGGCUGAGGAUGGGGCCCGCGGCCUAUCAGCUUGUUGGUGGGGUGAUGGCCUACCAAGGCGACGACGGGUAGCCGGCCUGAGAGGGCGACCGGCCACACUGGGACUGAGACACGGCCCAGACUCCUACGGGAGGCAGCAGUGGGGAAUCUUGCGCAAUGGGCGAAAGCCUGACGCAGCGACGCCGCGUGAGGGAUGACGGCCU